AGAGUUUGAUCCUGGCUCAGAACGAACGCUGGCGGCGCGCUAAUACAUGCAAGUCGAACGAGAAUGUGUAGCAAUACACAUGUACAGUGGCGAACGGGUGAGGAAUACAUAGGUAACCUACCCUCGAGUGGGGAAUAACUAGCCGAAAGGUUAGCUAAUACCGCGUACGCUCCCUGGACUGCGGUUCAGGGAGGAAAGCGAUACCGUGGGUAUCGCGCUCUUGGAUGGGCUUAUGUCCUAUCAGCUUGUUGGUGAGGUAAUGGCUCACCAAGGCUUCGACGGGUAGCUGGUCUGAGAGGACGAUCAGCCACACUGGCACUGCGACACGGGCCAGACUCCUACGGGAGGCAGCAGUAAGGAAUAUUGCGCAAUGGGCGACAGCCUGACGCAGCGACGCCGCGUGGGGGACGAAGGUCUUCGGAUUGUAAACCCCUUUCGGGAGGGAAGAUGGGACGGGUAACCGUCCGGACGGUACCUCCAGAAGCAGCCACGGCUAACUUCGUGCCAGCAGCCGCGGUAAUACGAAGGUGGCAAGCGUUGUUCGGAUUUACUGGGCGUACAGGGAGCGUAGGCGGUUCGGUAAGCCCUCUGUGAAAUCUCCAGGCUUAACCUGGAACAGUCGGAGGGGACUGCUGAGCUAGAGGAUGGGAGAGGAGCGCGGAAUUCCCGGUGUAGCGGUGAAAUGCGUAGAGAUCGGGAGGAAGGCCGGUGGCGAAGGCGGCGCUCUGGAACAUUUCUGACGCUGAGGCUCGAAAGCGUGGGGAGCAAACAGGAUUAGAUACCCUGGUAGUCCACGCCUUAAACGAUGGAUACUAAGUGUCGGCGGGUUACCGCCGG
rnacentral:rRNA from 1 species